GACGAACGCUGGCGGCGUGCUUAACACAUGUAAGUCGAACGGAAAGGCCCUGCUUUUGUGGGGUGCUCGAGUGGCGAACGGGUGAGUAACACGUGAGUAACCUGCCCUUGACUUUGGGAUAACUUCAGGAAACUGGGGCUAAUACCGGAUAGGAGCUCCUGCUGCAUGGUGGGGGUUGGAAAGUUUCGGCGGUUGGGGAUGGACUCGCGGCUUAUCAGCUUGUUGGUGGGGUAGUGGCUUACCAAGGCUUUGACGGGUAGCCGGCCUGAGAGGGUGACCGGCCACAUUGGGACUGAGAUACGGCCCAGACUCCUACGGGAGGCAGCAGUGGGGAAUAUUGCACAAUGGGCGGAAGCCUGAUGCAGCAACGCCGCGUGCGGGAUGACGGCCUUCGGGUUGUAAACCGCUUUCGCCUGUGACGAAGCGUGAGUGACGGUAAUGGGUAAAGAGGCACCGGCUAACUACGUG
rnacentral:rRNA from 1 species